GACCAUCUUGAAAUUCCUCUAAAGAUUUGGCAAUUAUUUAUGUGUUAGGACCAUCUUCAAUCGUAAGUUCCAUGAGUGCUAGAGCAUCCCAACGCGUCUUUGUGGAAGAGUAAAAGUCCUAAUUGGACUGCUCUCCCUGUCUAAGGGAGCGAAAGUGAAGUUCCUGUACUAACUAGUACUUUUGUGCCUAAUUAGUCUAAUUAUAAAUUUCCUCAAGAAAUUUCCUUGCUUCUCAAGCAGUUUUGAAAGUGCUCAGAUUGAUCCCAUAUUACUUUACGAUGAACCCAUCAUCUAUAUUAUAAUUUGAGCAUUGUUUAUGCCCCAUUCUUCUAUUUUUCCUAGCUCAUCAAGUUUCUUUUGAGUCCCAUCUAUGUAUAUGAGGAGGCCUUUUCCAUGAAUGAUAUUCCGCAUAAAUGAGGCCCAGAAAGUGUAGUUGGUGCCAUUGAGUUUAAUGGAUACAAACUAAAAAGACUCAAAUUUUUCCAUUUGAAAGGAAAUGUUGGAUAUUUUUUAGACAAAAGAGAGAGCCUAUAAGAAAAAUUGAGUUUGUAUCCAUAGAAAACUACGGGUCCAAAGAAAAUUGUGGUUGAGCAAGGCCCAAUGUACUAUUAUCUAAGAGACAGAAAUUUCCUAGAGGGAGGAAAUUAGGAGAGGAGAGAGAGAGGGGUCGACACAGAUGUCAGUUGUCAUAGGUAGAUUGCGGAGACCGAGAGAGUAGAGAGAGGUCCGAGAAAGAUCGAGAGAAAUCUGAGAGAAAGAGAUAGAGAAAACAGAGAGAGAGUAGAGAAAAUAGAGAGAUUAAAGAAGUCUGAGAGAGAGUGUGAUAGAGUAGAGAGAGAUUAGAGAGAUCUGAGAGAGAGUAGACAGGGACCGAGAGAGUAGAGAGGCCAGAGAGAGAUCUGAAAGAAAGUAGAGAGAGAGAUUACUGAUUAAAGAUCGAGAGAGUAGAUAGAGAUUUGAGCGAGGAGAUUAGAGAUCUGAGAGACAGUAGAGAGAGCGAUUAGAGAGGUAUCACGACCUCGCCCCCGAACCCCUUCUAUUCAUGCCAGAGAGCGACAGAGUGCGGGUUCGUGAUGCAAGGGUAGAGAAUACUACUCAGGUCGGAGUGCACUCAUCGCUUCAUAAAGUCGGAAUCAAAGCAAACCACGAAAGAAAACUAAAAACUCCCAACACAACAUGCAAAUACUGAUCAAAUUAAAACCAAAUAUAUAUACAUAACUCCAAAGUAUUUACAGUGAUGUCCAAGGCACCAAAGGCCCAACAAUUAAAGUGCAUAGAAUAAUUCAAACAAAAACAUGGCCCACAACCAACUAACACCCACAAUAAAAAAGACUCUUCAACAAUUGCGAGUCUUCAACCCUUAAAACGUUCACCUCAACCGUCCAUCCUUGUCCCCCAAACUAUCAUUCUAUAUUGGAGAAAGUCAAGGGAUGAGCUAUAAAGCUCAGUCAGUAUAUUCAGAUGCCAUGUAUCAUACUAUAUCUUGCAAGGUGCGGUGAGUGAUUCUUUUCAGAGAUAAGUAAUAAUGAUGCAGACAUCAUGUGAAAUGGCAGUUUAUCAAAUCUUCUCAUCACAAGUAUCAUAACAAAUCAACAUAGCUAUAAUUUAAACCAAUACCACACAGUAUAGCAACCUCAACAGAUAUAAACCAACUCACUCCCUAAUUCACCUACUCCCGACAUAGAAGUCCUAUUCAUCAGGACAAGCCAAUUCUCAUUGCUUAUGACUUCUACCAAUCACUCAGGAGGGAAGACAAUGAC
rnacentral:lncRNA from 1 species